UACGGAGGGUGCUAGCGUUGUUCGGAAUCACUGGGCGUAAAGGGCGCGUAGGCGGCCUGUGCAAGUCAGUUGUGAAAUCUCCGAGCUUAACUCGGAACGGUCAACUGAUACUGCUCGGCUAGAGUGCGGAAGGGGCAACUGGAAUUCUUGGUGUAGCGGUGAAAUGCGUAGAUAUCAAGAGGAACACCUGCGGCGAAGGCGGGUUGCUGGGCCGACACUGACGCUGAGGCGCGAAAGCGUGGGGAGCAAACAGG
rnacentral:rRNA from 1 species